UACGUAGGGGGCAAGCGUUGUCCGGAUUUAUUGGGCGUAAAGCGCUCGCAGGUGGUCCGUUGCGUCGUGCGUGAAAGCCCCCGGCUCAACUGGGGAGGGUCAUUCGAUACUGAUCGACUCGAAGGCAGGAGAGGGAAGUGGAAUUCCCGGUGUAGUGGUGAAAUGCGUAGAUAUCGGGAGGAACACCAGUGGCGAAGGCGACUUCCUGGCCUGUUCUUGACGCUGAGGCGCGAAAGCUAGGGGAGCAAACGGG
rnacentral:rRNA from 1 species